rnacentral:rRNA from 1 species
ACGUAGGGGGCAAGCGUUAUCCGGAUUUACUGGGUGUAAAGGGAGCGUAGACGGCGGUGCAAGCCAGAUGUGAAAGCCCGGGGCUCAACCCCGGGACUGCAUUUGGAACUGUAUGGCUGGAGUGUCGGAGAGGCAGGCGGAAUUCCUAGUGUAGCGGUGAAAUGCGUAGAUAUUAGGAGGAACACCAGUGGCGAAGGCGGCCUGCUGGACGAUGACUGACGUUGAGGCUCGAAAGCGUGGGGAGCAA